AUUAACUCUUCUGUGGAGGCAAAAAUUCAAUAUUUUGUAUGUUUUUGUUGGAAAAUUAGCUAUAUUUUUAGAUUUGAUGGACAUAAUGUACCUUAAGUAAUAUAAACUCAAUGUUAUUUUCCUUCAAAUUUUGGCAUUUUUAAGCUUUUAGUUUGACCCACCAUCCUCAGGUAGACACUUCAAACUAGCAGACAAACAGAC